AAUAUUGCAAAAUGGGCGCAAGCCUGAUGCAGCAACGCCGCGUGGGCGAUGAAGGCCUUCGGGUCGUAAAGCCCUUUUGGGAGGGACGAGGAAGGACGGUACCUCCCGAAUAAGCCUCGGCUAACUACGUGCCAGCAGCCGCGGUAAAACGUAGGAGGCAAGCGUUAUCCGGAUUUACUGGGCGUAAAGCGCGUGCAGGCGGCGGGGCAAGUUGGCUGUGAAAGCUCCCGGCUUAACUGGGAGAGGUCGGUCAAAACUGCCUGGCUGGAGAGUGGUAGAGGGAGAUGGAAUUCCGGGUGUAGUGGUGAAAUGCGUAGAUAUCCGGAGGAACACCAGUGGCGAAAGCGAUCUCCUGGACCAUAUCUGACGCUCAGACGCGAAAGCUAGGGGAGCGAACGGG
rnacentral:rRNA from 1 species